GGAGAAUUAGCUCAGCUGGGAGCGCAUCUGCCUUACAAGCAGAGGGUCGGCGGUUCGAACCCGUCAUUCUCCACCA
rnacentral:tRNA from 1 species